ACUCAAAUGAAUUGACGGGGGCCCGCACAAGCAGCGGAGCGUGUGGUUCAAUUCGAUGCAACGCGAAGAACCUUACCCGGGCUUGACAUGCGCGUGGUACCGAGCCGAGAGGGGAGGGACCCGCGAGGGAGCGCGCACAGGUGCUGCAUGGCUGUCGUCAGCUCGUGCCGUGAGGUGUUGGGUUAAGUCCCGCAACGAGCGCAACCCCCGCCGCCAGUUGCCUGUCUGGCGGGACCGCCGGGUCGAACCCGGAGGAAGGUGGGGACGACGUCAAGUCAGCACGGCCCGUACGCCCGGGGCCACACACACGCUACAAUGGCCGGUACAGAGGGCCGCGAAGGGGCGACCCGGAGCCAAUCCCAGCAAAGCCGGCCCCAGUGGGGAUCGCAGGCUGCAACCCGCCUGCGUGAACGCGGAGUUGCUAGUAACCGCCGGUCAGCACACGGCGGUGAAUACGUUCCCGGGCCUUGUACACACCGCCCGU
rnacentral:rRNA from 1 species